CUGAAAUGUUUGGUUUCCCGGUAGUAGCCAUCUGCGACGGUUGGCUAGCUGACUGUAGCCUACGCUACUUUCCCAGCAGUGAGAUGGCCAUAAAGAAGAACUCGGCGUUGAUCCUGUAACCGUGUUUUUGCUGCAUGUGGGUCCGUAGCAGGCCGGGUGUUUUGAAGGAGGCCAGACAGCUGCCUUUUACUGCCCAAGGGGGUAAUAAACAGUGAGGGAGGGGUAGUUAUUUACCCCUUUUAUUAGGGAGGCAGAGGAGGGGACUUUAUUGGGGUCACACUGUAACUACACACAGCUGCAGGGCAAGA